GAGGGUAUAGCUCAGUAGUAGAGUGCGUGCUUAGCAUGAACAAGGUCCUGGGUUCAAUCCCCAGUACCUCCA
rnacentral:tRNA from 1 species